UACGAAGGGUGCAAGCGUUACUCGGAAUUACUGGGCGUAAAGCGUGCGUAGGUGGUUUGUUAAGUCUGAUGUGAAAGCCUUGGGCUCAACCUGGGAAUUGCAUUGGAUACUGGCAGGCUAGAGUGCGGUAGAGGGUAGUGGAAUUCCCGGUGUAGCAGUGAAAUGCGUAGAGAUCGGGAGGAACAUCCGUGGCGAAGGCGACUACCUGGACCAGCACUGACACUGAGGCACGAAAGCGUGGGGAGCAAACAGG
rnacentral:rRNA from 1 species